rnacentral:rRNA from 1 species
UACGGGGGGGGCAAGCGUUGUUCGGAAUUACUGGGCGUAAAGGGCUCGUAGGCGGCCAACUAAGUCAGACGUGAAAUCCCUUGGCUUAACCGGGGAACUGCGUCUGAUACUGGAUGGCUUGAAUCCGGGAGAGGGAUGCGGAAUUCCAGGUGUAGCGGUGAAAUGCGUAGAUAUCUGGAGGAACACCGGUGGCGAAGGCGGCAUCCUGGACCGGCAUUGACGCUGAGGAGCGAAAGCCAGGGGAGCAAACGGG